rnacentral:rRNA from 1 species
GACGAACGCUGGCGGCGUGCCUAAUACAUGCAAGUCGAACGCAGGGGGGACGGGUGAGUAACACGUGGGUAACCUCCCAUCAGAGGGGAGAACACUUGGAAACAGGUGCUAAACCGAUAUUGAAGGAUGGACCCGCGGUGCAUUAGCUAGUUGGUGGGGUAACGGCUCACCAAGGCCAUGAUGCACAGCCGAACUGAGAAGGUGAUUGUCCACACUGGGACUGAGACCCGGCCCAGACUCCUACGGGAGGAAGCAGUAGUGAAACUUCGGCUAUGGACGAAAGUCUGACCGAGCGACGCCGCGUGAGUGAAGAAGAUUUUCGGAACGUAAAACUCUUUUGUUAGAAAAGCGAUAUCUAACCAGAAAGCAACGGCUAACUACGUGCCAGCAGCCGCGGUAAUUC